GAUGAACGCUAGCUACAGGCUUAACACAUGCAAGUCGAGGGGUAACAAGAGAAAAGCUUGCUUUUCUUGUUGACGACCGGCGCACGGGUGAGUAACGCGUAUCCAACCUGCCUUUAACUAGAGAAUAACCUUGCGAAAGUAAGACUAAUACCCUAUGAUUUCCUUUGAUGACAUCAGAUUAGGAAUAAAGAUUUAUCGGUUAUAAUUGGGGAUGCGUCUGAUUAGCUUGUUGGCGGGGUAACGGCCCACCAAGGCAACGAUCAGUAGGGGUUCUGAGAGGAAGGUCCCCCGCAUUGGAACUGAGACACGGUCCAAACUCCUACGGGAGGCAGCAGUGAGGAAUAUUGGUCAAUGGGCGGAAGCCUGAACCAGCCAAGUAGCGUGCAGGAUGACGGCCCUAUGGGUUGUAAACUGCUUUUAUACAGGAAUAAAGUUAGCCACGUGUGGUUAUUUGUAGGUACUGUAUGAAUAAGGACCGGCUAAUUCCGUGCCAGCAGCCGCGGUAA
rnacentral:rRNA from 1 species